rnacentral:rRNA from 1 species
UACAGAGGAUGCAAGCGUUAUCCGGAAUGAUUGGGCGUAAAGCGUCUGUAGGUGGCUUUUUAAGUCCGCCGUCAAAUCCCAGGGCUCAACUCUGGACAGGCGGUGGAAACUACCAAGCUUGAGUACGGUAGGGGCAGAGGGAAUUCCCGGUGUAGCGGUGGAAUGCGUAGAGAUCGGGAAGAAUACCCGUGGCGAAGGCGGCCAGCUGGGCCAGGUCCGACACUGAGGCGCGAAAGCGUGGGGAGCAAACAGG